GACGAACGCGGCGGCGUGCCUAAUACAUGCAAGUAGAACGCUGAAGGAGGAGCUUGCUCUUCUGGAUGAGUUGCGAACGGGUGAGUAACGCGUAGGUAACCUGCCUGGUAGCGGGGGAUAACUAUUGGAAACGAUAGCUAAUACCGCAUAAGAGUAGAUGUUGCAUGACAUUUGCUUAAAAGGUGCAAUUGCAUCACUACCAGAUGGACCUGCGUUGUAUUAGCUAGUUGGUGAGGUAACGGCUCACCAAGGCAACGAUACAUAGCCGACCUGAGAGGGUGAUCGGCCACACUGGGACUGAGACACGGCCCAGACUCCUACGGGAGGCAGCAGUAGGGAAUCUUCGGCAAUGGACGGAAGUCUGACCGAGCAACGCCGCGUGAGUGAAGAAGGUUUUCGGAUCGUAAAGCUCUGUUGUAAGAGAAGAACGAGUGUGAGAGUGGAAAGUUUCACACU
rnacentral:rRNA from 1 species